rnacentral:tRNA from 1 species
GGUGUUUAAGUCGGUAGAGCAAAGGACUGAAAAUCCUUGUGUCGCUGGUUCGAUUCCAGCUGAUACCACAA